AGCGGCGGAUGGGUGAGUGACACGUGGGGAACCUGCCCCUAAGUCUGGGAUACCAUUUGGAAACAGGUGCUAAUACCGGAUAAUAAAGCAGAUCGCAUGAUCAGCUUUUGAAAGGCGGCGUAAGCUGUCGCUAAGGGAUGGCCCCGCGGUGCAUUAGCUAGUUGGUAAGGUAACGGCUUACCAAGGCGACGAUGCAUAGCCGAAUUGAGAGACUGAUCGGCCACAUUGGGACUGAGACACGGCCCAAACUCCUACGGGAGGCAGCAGUAGGGAAUCUUCCACAAUGGACCCAAGUCUGAUGGAGCAACGCCGCGUGAGUGAAGAAGGUUUUCGGAUCGUAAAGCUCUGUUGUUGGUGAAGAAGGAUAGAGGUAGUAACUGGCCUUUAUUUGACGGUAAUCAACCAGAAAGUCACGGCUAACUACGUGCCAGCAGCCGCGGUAAUACGUAGGUGGCAAGCGUUGUCCGGAUUUAUUGGGCGUAAAGCGAGCGCAGGCGGAAAAAUAAGUCUAAUGUGAAAGCCCUCGGCUUAACCGAGGAACUGCAUCGGAAACUGUUUUUCUUGAGUGCGGAAGAGGAGAGUGGAACUCCAUGUGUAGCGGUGGAAUGCGUAGAUAUAUGGAAGAACACCAGUGGCGAAAGGCGGCUCUCUGGUCUGCAACUGACGCUGAGGCUCGAAAGCAUGGGUAGCGAACAGGAUUAGAUACCCUGGUAGUCCAUGCGUAACGAUGAGUGCUAAGUGU
rnacentral:rRNA from 1 species